CCAGAGAAUUUAGCAGAGAUGCUUUAGUGCCUUCGGGAACUCUGAGACAGGUGCUGCAUGGCUGUCGUCAGCUCGUGUUGUGAAAUGUUGGGUUAAGUCCCGCAACGAGCGCAACCCUCAUCCUUUGUUGCCAGCACGUAAUGGUGGGAACUCAAAGGAGACUGCCGGUGAUAAACCGGAGGAAGGUGGGGAUGACGUCAAGUCAUCAUGGCCCUUACGAGUAGGGCUACACACGUGCUACAAUGGCGCAUACAAAGAGAAGCGACCUCGCGAGAGCAAGCGGACCUCAUAAAGUGCGUCGUAGUCCGGAUUGGAGUCUGCAACUCGACUCCAUGAAGUCGGAAUCGCUAGUAAUCGUAAAUCAGAAUGUUACGGUGAAUACGUUCCCGGGCCUUGUACACACCGCCCGUCACACCAUGGGAGUGGGUUGCAAAAGAAGUAGAUAGCUUAACCUUCGGGAGGGCGUUUACCACUUUGUGAUUCAUGACUGGGGUGAAGUCGUAACAAGGUAAGCGUAGUGCU
rnacentral:rRNA from 1 species